UCCCAUGAAGAAGGUAAACAGGGAAGCUCGUAAAAGUGGGACUGGAAUCACCAUGGGAACGUUUGGUGCCAAUCAAGGAGAGUCGCACUGAGCAACUCCGGAGGUGGCUGGUGCAACAACAGAGCAGGAAGCAGCAUCCCGGGCCUCUGUGGCAACACCAAAAGAAACAACAGUACUACACACCAGGUUCAAGAAUAAGCACAUCAUUGAACACUGUACCAUCAAAAAGAAUGUCUUGCCAGCUGAGUAGAAGUUUAAUACAAAUGGAAACUCAGGUUUCAGUAUCUCAAGGAUUGGUGGAUAAUGAAUAAAUGGUAUCUCAACAAAUUCUUAGCCUUCAACUAGAGAGGUAUGUGAGACAGUGGGGAAUUUUUUUCCAAUUAUCUAUCUAUCGAGAAGAUGAAACAUCUUUAUCACCAAGAAGUGAAUGAUACCAACUUUGGGAGCAAACUAUAUUCAGAAAAAAUAUUUUAUACCCAUUAAACUCUAAUACCCAAGUGAAUUCAGAACUUGCACACAUACUGUGCAUCACUAUCUCAGGCAAUGGGUAACAUCAGACAAAGACAUUCUCACCAUAUAAAAUAAAUUCAAUAGCAUAA